AGAUCAACAUUAGUAUGUAUUUAUGCACAAUAAAAACAUUUACAAGUUGAACUGGAAAUUUAAACAGAAGUUUAACAGCUCUUAUUAUAUUAAAUAACCAAAACACCUUUUAUUCCCAAAAUUGGUAAAGAAUAAAUAAUAUAAUUUACAAUAUGGUACAAAAAAUAACCAGGAAAGGCAGGCAUUCUGCUUUAUACAUACACUGUAUAUGCAUAUUUAUAAUCUAUAAAACAAAUUCAUAUCUGAAACGAGCGGAGGCCUCGCUAUGGCUUAACCGAGUAAGAGAGAGAAGGGGAGCGGGGCGCGGGAGGCAGGGCCAGGGGCUGGGCUCCCCACACCUCACCCACCCCAAGGACACGCAGCCACUGUGACAUCAGGAGAGCGCUGACAGCCGCGAAGGGUGUGCUGUGGGUUUUUUUCCUUCGUUGUAAAUUACUCUUUCCUUGCUUUCUUUUUUUAACUUGAGACCCAGUUUCGCUCUUCUUGCCCAGGCUGGAGUGCACUGGCGCGAUCUCGACUCACUGCAACCUCCGCCGCUGAGGUUCAAGUGAUUCUCCUACCUCAAGUCUCCUCAGUAGCUGGGAUUAUGGGCAUGCGCCACCACGCCCGGCUAAUUCUGUACUUUUAGUAGAGACAGGGUCUCUCCAUGUUAGUCAGGGUGGUCUCAUACUCCCCACCUCAGGUGAUCCGCCCGCCUCGGCCUCCCAAAGUGCUGCGGGGGAUGAAAUGAGGCAGGAAGGGAGAGAUGGCGGCACAGGCAUGGCCUGCCCAACACCUCUGUAGCAGCUCCAGGCCACACUGGAUGUGGAUGGACGGUGACUCAUGUGCCUGGAACUCCUGAGGAUGAGAAGGCAAAGGGGCCCUUGUUAGCUCUGUCCUGGGGAAAGACUGGAUGUUGGGCCGUCUGCAGUAGGAACGCUGGCCACCCAAGAGGGCGCAAGGAGGGAGACCACCACGAAGGCAUAUAUUUGGUGAGGUCUGACCACAUCCAGAUGUCUGGGCCCUCACCUGGGUGUCCCAAAUGGGAAGGAGACACAGAAGUCUCAAGGCAAAGGUAUGCAAGGGACUGAACACGUAUGUCAGGCACGCCCACACCAAUGCCCGUGAGAGACACUUUCCCUGCAAAGGCAGGUUUGUCUCAAGUGCCAAACAGUCACACAUCGAGUUUGAGAACUUAUCAGGAAAGUCUUCGCUGUAAUCAUAUUAGCGCCUAAGGGUCACCCCAGGAGGGAGAAAUGACACCUUAGAUCGCCUGGAAGCUUGCAAAGGGACACAGGAAGGAAACCAACUACAGAGGGGACUUUGUUCUUCCUCUUCCAUGUCUCCUAAUUCUUAAAACACAAGAAAAACAUUUUCAACCAGCUUAGCAGGGUCCCAUGUAAAGUCCACACAACCUGCAUAGUACAGGACUCUUCCUGCCCCCACUCCCUGUUAAGAGUACGAACAAAACCUCUAGGGAGGGGAGGCACCAGCCCAGGGCCCCACGACUCCGCAGCAGCCCUGUGAUCGGUAUCCAUGCUCUUGCUGCCUUGGGAUGUGACACCACCAGGCAUGAGCCCAGGCCACACCCAACUGUCCUGCCCGUUACAGUCCACAGAGGGCACAGCUGAUGCAUAGCACAGGUUUGGCAGAAAGCAAGCAGCAGGGGCUGGGGCCUCCCUGCAGAGAGGGAGAUCACAGCUCCUAGUGCACAGCAACUACACCAAGGCACACAUACUCCCUUGUCUCAGAAGGAAAUGCCACCGGAAUGUCCAACACAACAAUCGAGGCAGAGCACAGGCUGAAAUGGGAUCAUUAUGCAGACCCUAACAUGGGCCCAGGCGUGGUGAAGAACGGCUCUAGUACCACAGUGAUUUCUAACGCUGGCCCUUGCCAAGAACUCAUCCUAGUCUCCUUGGACGCCGUUGCCUGCUGCUCGUGGGGAAGCAGCUCUGUGACCACGUUCCUGCCCGUUGCACAGUCUUGGGUGCGGAGAUGCCUCUGUUCAGACCAUCUUCUGGGGCUGCUGGGCUUAUCUAUUUUUCUCUAGCUCGAAGAGGGCUUCAUCCGCCACCAGGACGUGUGGUCACUGGGACAGGUCACUGACAGCGGGGCCGCCUCCACCACCAUCAAACAGAGCUUCUCGGCGGCCAGGCUCAGCGAUGGACAGCUCUUGGGCCAGGUCAUUGAACCGAGAAAUGUAAUCAAUGCUGUUUUCGUUCAUCAUGCACACCAGCUGGGAAUCCACAACCUGCAGGAAGAGGAGACAGGAAGAACAAGUCACCGCGACCUGCUGGCCCUUCAGUGGAGGGCGGGUCCUGAAACAGGACGAGAAGCUCCUAUCGACUCCCGCUGCAGGAAGCUAAGCUAGGGAUGGCAGCCCAGGGCUCUGUGCAGAAUCACAAUCACCUGUCGUCUGCCCGCACACUCUUUAGAUAAGUGCUCGCAGAGAGCCUAUGAUGUGCCUGGCACAUCUGAUGGCUGGGGUGAGGGUGCUGGUCCCCCCGCCCGCCAUGAGACCUAUGGGGGAAGACACCCAACAGGUAGACAGACUGUAUGCAGCAGACACAGGCACUGGGGGCAGCCUGCAGAAACAGAUGCAGAGUGAGGGGACAGAGAGUGCCGGGAAAAGGAGGCCAGAGAGGGUGCUCCAAGGACUGGGACCUGAGCGGGAGGUGGGGUAAAACCCGAGGAUACGUGGGGGACACGUUUCCAUCAUAGACAUGAGGACAGGUGGGGGACACAUUCCCAUCAUAGACAUGAGGACAGGUGGGGGACACGUUCCCGUCACAGACAUGAGGACAGGUGGGGGACACGUUCCUGUCAUAGACAUGAGGACAGGUGGGGGACACGUUCCCGUCAAGAGACAUGAGGACAGGUGGGGGGCACGUUCCCAUCACAGACAUGAGGACAGGUGGGGGACACGUUCCCAUCAUAGACAUGAGGACAGGUGGGGGACACGUUCCCGUCAUAGACAUGAGGACAGCUGGGGGCACGUUCCCAUCAGAGACAUGAGGAGAGCUGGGGGCACGUUCCCGUCAGAGAAAUGAGGACAGGUGGAGGGCACGAUCCCGUCAGAAUCCCAAGGACAUGUGGUGAGGGCACGUUCCCAUCAGUCCUGAGGACAUGUGGGGAGCACGUUCCCGUCAGAGACAUGAGGACACAUGGGGAGUACGUUCCUUUUUAAAGAAGCAACAGGCAUGUUCCCUGAGACAGGAAGAGGCUUUGACUGAAA
rnacentral:lncRNA from 10 species